rnacentral:lncRNA from 1 species
GAAACUUUACUUCCAAUGACCAAUCCUUCAAGACCACAACAUAAUGUCACAAGCCAAGCUCCAAAUAACCCUCAAAAUUAAGAACAAGAUAGACCACUUCCCCCACAAUUUGAUCAAUUCCAACAAGGAGGACUUGGAAGCCAAUUUUCUCCCAUCCAAGCUCCACAAACGAAGCUCCACUUUACCAAAUUGAGCCUCUCAACCGAAACUUCCCUUUCCCAAAACCGACACAUCCAAGAAGAGGAACAUGGUAGAGAGAGACACGAAGGAUAUGGAGUCUACGACGAUGCUUCUAUGAUAGAAGGAGACUUGAGUUGGAUGAGAUUGAAGGCUAAUCUCAAGAGGGAGAGAAAGCCGAGGGUCAAAAUGAAGAUGUUGGAUCUGAGACUUUUUGUCAUUAUGCUCUCG